rnacentral:lncRNA from 1 species
UCUUGGAUGUGGUGCUUGCUAUCAGGUAACUAUCACCAAUCUUGUUCAUAUGCCUCGGGUUGUUCAGUAUUCCUGAAAGUCAACAAUAACAAUAACAAGGUUUCAACAGGUGAGAUGCACCAAUAGCAACUAUUGCUCAGACAAAGGAGUAAACAUCGUUAUAACUGACCAAGGUUCGAGUGAUAACACCGACUUCAUUCUCAGCAGACGGGCCUUCGGUGGAAUGGCUCAGACCAAGGAUGCAGCUGCCUCGAUACUAGCCCUUGGAAUCGUCGACAUCGAAUAUAGACGGUGAGAUUACCUAUUUUUAGAUUACCAUGCAAAUAUCCAGUCUAAGAAAAUGAACUAACUAGGAUCACACCCUCAAGCUAUCUAAUAGAAAUACAAAGGGGAUAAUGUUCUUAGACCCAACACACCUUCUAUAUGUAAAACCAAUACCAAUUUCCUGGAUAAUCUUUAGAAAGUAUUGCAGUCACUCAGCAAAAGAAGCAAAAUUCUACACUUUGUUAUGUUUGAAACUGCAAGCACUAGGUUAACCUUUCUUCCUCGCAUGCAGUGUUUCAUGCUACCAUCCAUACAAGAAUAUAACGAUCAAGAUUGACGAGAACAGCAACUACCCGUAUUACCUUGCUUUUGUCAUACGGUACCAACAAGGGGAAAAGGAUAUUACUGCCG